AGAUUGAACGCUAGCGGGGUGCUUUACACAUGCAAGUCGAACGGCAGCGCGGACUUCGGUCUGGCGGCGAGUGGCGAACGGGUGAGUAAUAUAUCGGAACGUGCCCAGUAGCGGGGGAUAACUACGCGAAAGCGUGGCUAAUACCGCAUACGCCCUACGGGGGAAAGGGGGGAUUCUUCGGAACCUCUCACUAUUGGAGCGGCCGAUAUCAGAUUAGCUAGUUGGUGAGGUAAAGGCUCACCAAGGCGACGAUCUGUAGCUGGUUUGAGAGGACGACCAGCCACACUGGGACUGAGACACGGCCCAGACUCCUACGGGAGCAGCAGUGGGGAAUUUUGGACAAUGGGGGAAACCCUGAUCAGCCAUCCGCGUGUGCGAUGAAGG
rnacentral:rRNA from 1 species